GUAGUCAUAUGCUUGUCUCAAAGAUUAAGCCAUGCAUGUCUAAGUAUAAGCACUUUAUACUGUGAAACUGCGAAUGGCUCAUUAAAUCAGUUAUCGUUUAUUUGAUAGUACCUUACUACAUGGAUACCUGUGGUAAUUCUAGAGCUAAUACAUGCUAAAAACCUCGACUUCGGAAGGGGUGUAUUUAUUAGAUAAAAAACCAAUGCCCUUCGGGGCUCCUUGGUGAUUCAUAAUAGCUUAACGAAUCGCAUGGCCUUGCGCCGGCGAUGGUUCGUUCAAAUUUCUGCCCUAUCAACUUUCGAUGGUAGGAUAGUGGCCUACCAUGGUGGCAACGGGUAACGGGGAAU
rnacentral:rRNA from 1 species